UUGGGCGUAAAGCGAGCGCAGGCGGUUAGAUAAGUCUGAAGUUAAAGGCUGUGGCUUAACCAUAGUACGCUUUGGAAACUGUUUAACUUGAGUGCAAGAGGGGAGAGUGGAAUUCCAUGUGUAGCGGUGAAAUGCGUAGAUAUAUGGAGGAACACCAGUGGCGAAGGCGACUCUCUGGUCUGUAACUGACGCUGAGGCUCGAAAGCGUGGGUAGCAAACAGGAUUAGAUACCCUGGUAGUCCACGCCGUAAACGAUGAGUGCUAGGUGUUAGACCCUUUCCGGGGUUUAGUGCCGCAGCUAACGCAUUAAGCACUCCGCCUGGGGAGUACGACCGCAAGGUUGAAACUCAAAGGAAUUGACGGGGGCCCGCACAAGCGGUGGAGCAUGUGGUUUAAUUCGAAGCAACGCGAAGAACCUUACCAGGUCUUGACAUCCCUCUGACCGCUCUAGAGAUAGAGCUUUCCUUCGGGACAGAGGUGACAGGUGGUGCAUGGUUGUCGUCAGCUCGUGUCGUGA
rnacentral:rRNA from 1 species